rnacentral:lncRNA from 1 species
UGGAAACAAAGCCUGUGUAUGCUUUUGUUAUUACAAAAUUAUAUGUUUCUAAGCCCUUUCUCAAAAAAAUAAAAAAUUAUACGUUUCUAAUACUCUCACCUAUAGCAUGACCACUAAAAACUUCUUAUCUCUUCCAGCUCUGAAAGACAUACACAGAAGCAAAAACGAAAGAGCGGGGUUUCCCUUAAUAGAUGGUGGGGAUGAGGCCUGAUGUGACGCAUCUUAGUCAGAAAGGCAAUCGUACAAGUUGAUGUUGUAAGAAAGCAGAGGUUAUCGUGACAAGUGGUGCCACGUGGGCCGACAUUAGGAACCAAUCAGAGUGAAACUGCACGUGAGAUCUCUCCACGUCCCG